AACGACGUGACACUCGAGAAUGGACGUGAAUUGCAGACACACCGAACUUGAAUACUUUGAACGCACAUUGCAGCGUCGAUCAAAGAUGUCGACGCUGCGCCUGUCUGAGGGUC
rnacentral:rRNA from 1 species